UACGUAGGGUGCGAGCGUUGUCCGGAAUUAUUGGGCGUAAAGAGCUUGUAGGCGGUUGUUCGCGUCUGCCGUGAAAAUCCGGGGCUCAACCCCGGACUUGCGGUGGGUACGGGCAGACUAGAGUGUGGUAGGGGAGACUGGAAUUCCUGGUGUAGCGGUGAAAUGCGCAGAUAUCAGGAGGAACACCGAUGGCGAAGGCAGGUCUCUGGGCCACUACUGACGCUGAGAAGCGAAAGCGUGGGGAGCGAACAGG
rnacentral:rRNA from 1 species